rnacentral:lncRNA from 1 species
CACGAGUGAGCUCCAUCAGGUGAGGAAACUGAGGCCCAAGGGGAUACAACUGGUGUCCAAGGCAGCCUUCGAUUCCAGGUCCAGUGCUGGGUCCUCUCUUCACAAGAACUCAACUUGGGGAACUGAUUAGCAUCGUCGUUCCUGAUUUGCCGCCAUGAUUAGGCAGCUGUCUUGCUGAUUGGGAGAAGGAAACUGAGGCCCAGAGAGAGGAAGACGCUUGCCCAACAUCCCGUAACUCGUUUGGCACUGCUGAUACCAUUCAGAUACAAAUCCUGUGGCUCCAAUCCAAGCCUCAGAAGUGGGCAAGGGUGAAGACUCAAGUCCAACAACAUGGGAGGUUUUCGGGGACCCAACAAUUCAAUGCCUCAUUAAAAAACAAAAUGGAG